rnacentral:rRNA from 1 species
AUUGAACGCUGGCGGCAGGCCUAACACAUGCAAGUCGAACGAGUGGCGGACGGGUGAGUAAUGUCUGGGAAACUGCCCGAUGGAGGGGGAUAACUAUCGGAAACGGUAGCUAAUACCGCAUACCAUCGGAUGUGCCCAGAUUGGAUUAGCUAGUAGGAGGGGUAAAGGCUCACCUAGGCGACGAUCACUAGCUGGUCUGAGAGGAUGACCGGCCACACUGGGACUGAGACACGGUCCAGACUCCUACGUGAGGCAGCAGUGGGGAAUAUUGCACAAUGGGCGCAAGCCUGAUGCAGCCAUGCCGCGUGUAUGAAGAAGGCCUUCGGGUUGUAAAGUACUUUCAUCAGGGAGGCGUUACUCGAAGAAGAAGCACCGGCUAACUCCGUGCCAGCAGCCGCGGUAAUAC